CGCCUGGAUGUUGGAGAGUCCAAAUCCCACUAUUCAUAAGAUCUGGGAUUCAGGAUGCCUGGGAGAGAUUGUCUGGAGGGAGAAGUCCCCGUAACCUAGAACUUUGGCAAAAUUCCAAUACUAAAAACGUGGCAGAGGAGGCUGAUACAGCAAAG
rnacentral:lncRNA from 1 species